UGAAAUUUGUAGUAUAAGUGAUGCACUUGAGCUAAUCUCCUAAUUAAUUAAGGAAUGCUCUUGAAACAUACUAUUGCAAGGAGAUAGACAAAAAAAACAAACCCAAGUACAAUCAUCCGCAUCAACAUUCCAGCCAACUCACCACACAGAGAUGAUCAAAAUCCCCUUCCAUUAAAUCCAGAAGCCAACCACCCAAACAAGUUAGAGUCAAAUCAUAUUUUACAUAUAUAUAUUUAGAAUAAAUAGUGAUUCCUCAUAUGUGGGUGUGGCUAAUGACAAAGAAGAUGAUUUGAUCAGGCGUGCAAGCGAGGCAAUAAGUCGGUGUGCAGUUAGUCAGCCAUUCACCGUCGAUGAGGAGGAAGCUCAGUCCAAAUGUGGAGAGGAGAGCAGAGAGGGAACGAGAGAAAGGAUUUGAUUUUAGAGUUUUGGAGAGUAAUUUUCCAAACGGCAGAAAACGUGAUUUGUGCGUUUUCUUUUUUACAAUAAAAAAUCUGGAUAUAGAUCAAGAUUUAAUUUUUAAAAACACCCAACCAAUCAACUAUUAUCAUGGUCCCAUAGAUUUUAUAUUUUCAAAAACAUAAAAUUGGAUCACGAUAGGAUACCAAUCAGCCCCUAAGUGAUUAAUAUCACGUAUAGCUUAAAUUUUUUAUUAUCUCGUAAUAUCAAGGCAGUUAGAGUUUGGUGCUAUGAUUGGCUUGAUUUAUAUGGAGUCUGCAAAACCAGGAUAUUAACUCUAUUCGUCUGGUGGUGUUUAAACGAAGCUUGCACAUAGCCAUGAGUACUUCUUCAGGGAGCGAUGCUUCCUUGACCAGAGGAUGAGUAGCAAAAUCAUGGGUCCAUUUGUAGAGCUUUGGAAACUUUGUCUCAGUCAAUAUCUCUAUUCCCAUGAGCUGUUGAAAAAUUGAACACUUUCCAUGCCGUUGGCACGAUCUGGGAAAAUCACAUUCAUCAUCAAAUUGUUACUCUACAGAUUGCCCAUAAGGUGUUCGACGAAAGUUCUAACUCAAAAAGGAAAAAACUAUGAAAAGCAUUACAUGACACAUGAGUUUUAUUGUAUUCGAAGUUGAUUGUUUUUACAAAUAUCCCAUGAUUGGAAACAAACUAAGAUGAUGGGCGAAUCAUAUUAAUCAUCAAAUUGUUACUUUAUGAUACGCACAGAAAGUGUUCGACCAAAGUUCUAGAUCAGAUAAAAAAAGAAAAAGAGAUCACUUCGAAAGAAUUGUUACCUUGUCAUCAAUGAAAUGAGCCCAAAAACGGGCUUGAGCUCUUUCGUAGGGGUCUUCAGGCAAGAUGGGAUGAAUCUUCCAUGUCUCAUCGAUGUAUUCAAGAAUGACAAGUGACUCUGCUAUGGGCUUUUCAUUGUGAACAAAGGCAGGGAUCUUUUUGUGAACUGGGUUGUAUUUGAGGAGUGAAGCACUCUUGUUCUUCAUGUCUUCUUCAUAAUAUUUGUAUUCAAUACCUUUGAGUUUCAGAGCUAUAUUUACUCUGCUAGUAAAAGGGCUUCCCGUAACACCAUAAAGCUCCACUUCUUCCCCCAUAAUCCUAUAUUGUUACUACCUAAAAACACUUGUGUUUUGAAUCUCUAUCUGUGAUUGUUUGGGUC